rnacentral:lncRNA from 1 species
AAACACAGAUAUGGUGGUUGACACAGUCCUAAAAAAUGGAGUCAUGGAGGUAAGUACAUACUGCUCUUUGGAGAAACAUGGUUGUAAGGUGAACGAAAAACUAAGGUGUACACUAGAAGGAAACAGAGCGACAAAAUAGGAGAUGCUGAAAGAAAAAGAGAAGUUGAAAUACAGAAGAGAAGAGACGCAAUGUAAGCUUCCCAAAGAAAUGAGAAGAUGUGAUUCAAAGAACAGAUGGUAGGUUUAACAUUUGAAAUGUAGGACAACAAUUUAGCUAAAAUAGAAAGGGAAGAGGUAAGGCUGGCUCUGACUAUAUUUACACUUGUUUGUGUUUUGGGGAGAGAAAGGAAGUGGAGAACGUUCUUGCAAGAUGAUCUGUAUUUUCUCUCUAAAGCAGAGUUCAUUUGCUGAGAAUGAUGGAGAAAAUCAGCAUCUAGCUAAUCAGCUGACCAUGAGAUGCAGAGAUUAUCUGGAAUUAUCCAGAUUGGUCCAUUUAAUUACAUGAGUCCUUAAAAGUGGAAAGUGGAAGAAGAGGCAGAAGAGUGUGUCAGAGAGAUGCUGUGUGAAAAGGACUCAACCUGCCACUUGAGGCUUUGAGGCUGGAGAAAGGGGCCAUGAACCAAGGAUUGUGAGCAGCCUGUAAAAUCUGGAAAAGACAAGGCAAUACCCUUUGCUGUCUCAGGGUCAAACAUGCAACUCCUGCCUGCUUGUAUGGCCAGCUGGGUUCAAGAAGGAAGGAACCUCAUUGUUGACAGUUACCAGAUGAAUGUGCCCCUUCUGUACAGCUAAGAAAUGGAAUAGACAUUGGUAACCUUCCACAGGCCCACACAUGUGUUAUCAGCCAUACCUUAGGACAGAAGGAAUGAGUUUGCAGAAAGGAUGCUCUUCAGAACUCAUGAAGACAUAAGGUGCUUCAAAAGAGGAGACUUUCGGAACAUGAGCAGGGAAAUUGUCACUUGAUAGAUGACAAGCAUUGUGAGAAACAACAGUUUGCCUUUCUUCAUUCCCUUCCUGGUUAUCUUUCCUGUCACAUGAAGAAGAAAUGAAACACCAGAGAGAAUCAGGUUAUCAUCAUCUACACCAGCCACUGUCACUGGCCUUCAAAGUUCAACCUCCCUGGAACUCCAGAACUCCCCACUUUAUAAGAUGAAUGGCUAAUUGGAUCCUAGUACAUAAGGAAACACUGGCAAAAUAGCGCCCUACAACCAUACUGAGAAUUUAGCCCUGGGGACAUCUUCCGAUAUAAUCUGGCAUAGAAGAGUGGUUAUCACACCUUUAGCAUGGGACCCUUGAGACACCUUUGCUGUGAAUAAUGGAGAAGCAAAAGGAGUUACUAAUGAAGACAAACUAAACCUGAGAACAGAGAGAGCCUAACUAUGUGCUCCAGAAGUGCCAUGUGUGUCUAAGGUAGGUCCAAAGGUAUGAGUCUAGAGAUAUUAUGUAUAAAACACCUAAUUGAAUGUCAAAAAAUCCAUAGAAGCUUAAUAAUUGGUAGCAAUUAUUAUUACUCAUUAGUGUGGGGGCUGGGAAGAUGACAACAGAGUAUAACUUGGAGGGUUGGUGUAGAGCAAUUAGCUAGCAACUGUAGUUUGAAUUUCCAUGAAGUAGUUCCCUUAAUUGUGUACACACAAACACAUCAAAACUGAAACCACAGCUAUGUGAUUUAAUAAUGUUGCACGUUUAGACAUGAUACAAGGCACUUUUGCCUACAUUAUCUUUCUGUGAGUUUAACAUUAGACCUGGUAUAAUUAUCCUAAAUUUACUACUAGAGAAUUUAGUUUGAAAAGUCAUGCAACUUUUCUAAAGAAUUUUUUCUGAUUUAAUAACACCAAUCAAUGAAUUAAUCAAUCAACUGUUCUGGCCAUUAAAUGUGUGAGAAAAAAAAGUCAGUGUAUUAAUUAUAAUUAUAUACCGAGACUUGGCUCUGUGUGUUUCACAAAAUAAGUAUAAAGUAUCAAAUUUGUUAUAAAUGUGUGACCCAUUAAAAGAAAAAAAAACUUGAUAGAUGUGUAUUUGGUAACAGCUUUUUAGAAAAUUUUUUGAACAUUUAUGAUGUUCAGAAAAGAACAGUGAUCAGUGUGCUAAAUUAAAUUACUUGAAUAAAUUAUGGAGAAAAAGUUCUGAUUUUUGUGCAAGGUUUGCAUUCUGGAUUGAGGUCCAGUUCUUUUUGAAGUAUCUGAAAUCAAACAUAUAUUUCCAAACCCUGAGGACUGAUUUCCUUCUGAAGACCACCCUCUCUUCUAUUUGAGGAACUCCAUAUUCCUUCUUGUAACACUACUCUGAUUCUAUAUCAAGCAAUCUUGGCCUUGUUAAGAUAAGAAAGUUGCCUUAAGCACUUUCCAAAGCUUUCCUACAUUCACUGUUGGUGGAUGGUGUCCCUACCCUACUUGUUCCCCUGCAGAACCUCAGAUUGGAGAUAUAAGGGGUGAAAUAACAGCCAAGUACCUCAGAGCUAAGUACUUUACAUAUAACUCAUUUAAUCCUCACAGCAUUGCUAUGGAACAAGUACUAUUAUUCAUCCCAGUUUACAGAUAGAAACUAAGGCAGAGAAAGGUUAAAUAAUCAAAGUUUACCUACUAGAUAACAGAGUGGGGGUAGAAACCAAGCCAUUCUGGCUUUUCCUGCUUGUAACACCAGGGUGGUAAAGGUGAAAAUUUGGGUUCAUUCUCACAGAGAAGAGGUUAUUAAGGCUCAGACUGGACAGAUAGCAUGGGAAUGAUGAGCAAGCAGGAAAUUUAAGAGUCAGAUCUUAGAAAAAUAUGACAAAGCCUAGAGACUGGCAACUGACAUGAUCUGAGAAAAGUGAGGAGGCCAGUGUUCCUUGUUUGGAAACAGGAGGAAUAAUGGGACCACUGGUUGAAAUGGAGUGCAAAUGUCUUAUAAGAAAAGGAAAAAAAUGACACCAACUUGACCCUCAAGUAUAUUUUGAGUAUAUUCUAUUUCUCUUUUCAUUAGAAGAAAUUUAAUUUGAGAAAUGAAUAGAGAAAGAAAGGGGAAAGGAGAAUGUUUCAAAGAAUAAGGUUAAAGUCAUCACAGCUUGACAGCAAUCUAAAAGUCAAAAAGUAUGCCAGAAUAGCAGGUAUUUGAGACCCACUGUUCGAAACAAUUUUAUUUUAAACACAUGUGGUUCCUUAAUGAUACUGGUAGCAUGGUGGUUGUGCAGCCCGCCUUUAGCAGGAAGUGCUGAUUUGCUUAAUUCUAUUAAGCCUAUAAGAAAGGUAAAUCUGUCUCCUGAACUUAAGGGGCCUCUGCUCUAAAGUAAGUUUGACAUUGGCCAAUAAUCACCCUGACAUUCUUGUGGCUUUGGCUGCUCUUGAAGCUGCUGAAUUGCACCAAGAGAAGAGGCUGAGUGAGAAAGCCUGGUUAUAGCAAUGGCCCAUCCUGUCAGUGCUGGGAGUGGGUACUAUACUCAAAGCAGUAUAAAUACAGAUGCUGCACAUUAUGCUCUGCUAUGCUGGCUGCCUUUGGGAUGAUUGUUGGGAAAGUUCUUGAAGCCAGUGGUGUUAGAGGGGACAGUGUGCUUCUUGAAACAAAAGAGUUGAUGGUGAGAAUGGUCUUUGAAAACUGUACUCUUUACAAAGGUGAACUCUGCAAACUGGGCCUACUGAAAGAAAUAGGGAUUCUAUUUUCAUUACUGUUUUAUCAUCAAAAUACCAUAAGGCCUGGCCCUUAGCAAAUAGUCCUUAAAUAUCUGAUACCAUUAGAAGCUUGCUUCUAUGAAGGGUGAUCACCCAUCCCAGUUUGCGUGGGACAGUCUUAGUUUACAUUAUUGUCCUUGCAUCCUGUUCAGCUGGUAUAUAUCCAAGUCUCUUAAUUUUUAUUCAAGUAUUAUUAUUAAUAGUUGUACAAAAAUAAGUCAGAAUAAGUUUGGUAGACCUCUACUUUAUUUCCAGCUUCUGUCAUUUUCUUCCUGGUAGUAGGUAUGAGACAUAUAUACAUGGAAAGAUAAUCAGCAGUAGCCUAUCUCUCUCCCUUUAAUUUUUUAAAGAACUUUCCAGAUUCAAGAAUGGACAAGGCACUCAGUUAUGAGCAACAAAUUCCUUUUGUCUUGGAGAUCAUGGAAGAAGUAUUAGAUGCUGCUCCCCUUAGUGUAACAGCCAGUUUUGUUGCAGCCUGUGGGGCCUGCAAGCUACACAAAACCACCAGGAUCCUAGAAGAGUCACUAGGAAACGUAGAGUAUUAUAGCUAGAUAAACAUCAUCACAUAUGUGUAAAAGAUAGAGACUGAACAGUCCAGUCUUAAAAUGUAUAGCAAAGUAGUUUGAAUGCUCUUGUUACAGUGAUUUUGUCAUCUACCAAUUUUAAGUGUGUAGUGAUUUAUCUAUCACAUUAUUUGGCAAUACUUUCUGAAUUUUGCAAUACAUGCAACAAUGACCUAAAAAAUGAAAGUGCAUGUUUAAUUUAAAAAUUAAAAGUAAAGCCAGGCGCAGUGGCUCACACCUGUAAUCCCAGCACUUUGGGAGGCUGAGGCGGGCGGAUUACCUGAGGUCGGGAGUUCAAGACCAGCCUGACCAACAUGGAGAAACCCUGUCUCUACUAAAAAUACAAAAUUGACUGGGCGUGGUGGUGCAUGCCUGUGGUCCCAGCUACUUGGGAGGCCGAAGCAGGAGAAUUGCUUGAACCUGGGAGGCGGAUGUUGCGGUGAGUGGAGAUCGCGCCAUUGCACUCCAGCCUGGGCAACAAGAGCAAAACUCUGUCUCAAAAAAAAAAAAAAAAA